rnacentral:lncRNA from 10 species
GACCGGCUGAGGGGACUAGGGGAGCGCGGUGCUUCGGUGGCGGAGGUCACGGUGGCCUCCAUCCUAAAGGGCUGCGGGCGUCCCGGACGGCGGUCCCAAGCGCUGCUCACGCUGCUCUUAAACCAGAAGACGGGAAACCGUGACUGCCGCACCCUUCCCUGAAGCAGGCACUGCCCGUCGUCCAUCAAACGCGAGGACUGCGCCCACCUCGUAGGAAGGACGCCGCGGUCCUGCUAAAAGCCUCCGCCUCUGCCUGCCCGAGGGCACCCUUCCCCUCCCCGCUUCCGAGGGCGGACUCCAUUCCUCUGGAGCCGGUGUUUCCGGGUGGGCCAGCCUCCAACUGCCUUUGAAUAACCCCCCCUUACAUUAGAUUCUGACCCUGUGGUGAUUUUAGGUUGGGAUUUGGGCGCCUGCAGAUGGCUCCGAAGCCAGCCUCUUGUGAUCCGAGCCACUUCUCUGGCACUCGGAGCGCUGGCACCCGCGGAGCGGCCUUGGUUCACCGGACCGCCUGGGAACCUGGCCGGGGUCUCUGGCAGCCUCCCAGGGCUGAGGUUCAGACUCUGUUCCGCCUACCCAGGUCCACACCUGAUAGGGCUGGAGUUGAGGCUUGGUUUUAAGGCAAGAGUUUCGUUUGUUAUUUCUCCAAAGAGUCAGCUGUUUGCAGGUGUGUGGUUAACACUAUCCUUCGAGGUUAAGGUUUUGUUCGUCUUGCUAAAGUUUGCAACCUUUUUUGUCCUUCAGAUUUGGAGAAGGGGAAAGCAGUUUCUCUUUGAAAAGAAGCAGCGAAUCGUGGCUUAAGCAAAAUUUGUAAUCCUUAAAACUGGCCAGGCUCUGGAGCUGAGUUCAAUUUGACAUGUCUAAACUUUCUUCUUGAGUAACCAGAUUUUCCCUUACAGUCUUUUGUCACUUAAGAGAACUCAUAGGCAAUCGUCCAUCCAAAACAAGUCUUUCUCCUUCAGGGAGGACCCAUCUUUGGAAACUCCAGCUGGUUUCCUGUGCAGUGCUUAUGGUGCCACCUCUCGUUAUAUUUAGAAAAAUGGUCUCACGUAACUUGAGAAAAAACAUUUCAGUGACCAAAGCCGGGUACCAUUGGAACACCAAGGUAAUUUACUUGUUUGCUCAAUUGGAAAACGCUGGCUCUAGGAUAAAACGGAAUCUUUGGGAGAGUUAUUUUUUAUGGUAGUUGGAAGCAUCCAAAAGAAGUUCUAAUAAAGGUAUUUAUGAGAGAAAAAC